rnacentral:lncRNA from 1 species
UCGGGAAAGUAAUUUUGGGGUGUGAAUUCAUCUCCGUAAUUCAAAUUCAAGGAUCGUGGUUAACGGGCUUAAUUUAUGGAGGUUGAUCUAUGCUACUAGCCCAAAAUUUGGUGCUAUAACUAUUUUAGAUAUUAUUGUUUUGGGUAGUGCUAUCCACACACCAUUUUUACAUCUCAGACAUCCCUUUCAAUUUUUGGUUGUUAGAACUUAGAUCCAAUGAACUUAGAAAAUAAAUGGCAAAAAAUUAACAAGAGUGUGGGAGGUAAAAAUGGAUGUGUGAAUAGAACUAUCUUAUGGUUUUUUAUUAAAGUAUAUUUUGAAAAACAAUGAAUCCACUAAUCACUUUAUGAUAAGCUCAUAUAUAUAUAUAUAUAUAUAUUACAUCAAAUUCACUUGUCUUUUGUUAGUUAGUUCCUUAUAUUUAUGAGCUAUUUACUUUGUUUUUGUGUUUUGUAGGAAUUGUCUAGCAAAGAAGAGAAAAAUUCAUCGAUCAAAUGUUAGUAAGGUUAGCUGGUCAUUCUCAUUAUUGCUUUCUUGAUGGCUACUCUAGAUAUAAUCAUAUUGAAGUUGCUUUGGAGGAUCAAGAAAAGACGACUUUCACAUGUCCAUUUGACACACUUGCAUAUCGGAGGAUGCUGUUUGGACUUUGCAACGCCCUCGCCACAAUUCAAAGGUGUAUGGUAAGUAUCUUUUCCGAUAUGAUUCAUGAUGGGUGCAUAUUUUCAUAUAUUUUUAUCAUAUACUUCAUUUGGAUUUUGUAUAUAUAAAUGGGUUAAAUGCACUAAUUUAUAUUGUUUUAAUUUAUAGGCAUUAAAUACUGGAGUUAUGCAAAAAUAAAGUGAAAAAUGAGCUUUUUGGGUGUCUAAAGUAAUUCCAGUGGAGCAAGAGGCUAAUUAACUGCACCAAGGCAUAUGCGUUACAACAAAUGCAUGAAACUGCAACGGUUUUGGAAUCAAAUAGAGAUGAAAAUGCUAUUCAAUGGAAUUUAGGAGAGAACUUAAUUAUUAGUUUUAUUAUUUCUAUUUUUUUUUCUUUUCUUUAAAAAGGACUUAAAGGUCCAUUAGAGCUAAGAUUAGUGGUCAUUUAUUUGACCAUUUCUUGGUUGUAUAUAUGGAGAUUGGUUCUCCAUUGUAAAGGAGGAGCCACAAAAAAAAAAAAAAAAAAAAAAAAAAAAAAAAAAAAUUCAUCUAUUCUACAUAAGGGGCUGUGGCAAGGAAGGCCAAGAGGAAGAGCUACUUUGGAGUUUUUCUUUACUAGGGCUACGAUGUAGCCUAAUCAUGAAUACUUAAUUGCCUUGUGGCAUUGUUAUUAUCAUGUUUUUCUUCUUUAUUAAGUAUCUUUUGCUAUUCGUAAUGCGCUUGUUUUUUAUUUAGAUGCUUGAUCACCAUCUAGGUUUAAAUUAGAUUGAUUUGAUGCAAGUUAGAGUAGAUGCCAUACUUAACUUGGGUUUAGCUUCUUGCAAUUGAUACCAUAAACACCUAUUUGUAGAUGCCAUACAAUUAGGGUUUGUGUGAUUUUCCAACGAUUUCCAUAGAGCUUAAUGGGUUCUUACUUGUUUAAAUUCAUCUAGAUGUCAUAGAGGGUUAACAAGUAAGGAUACUUUUGAUGCAACUAGAUGCCAUGGCCAUUGAAUAAUUUAGGGAAAAUCGAUCGUCAAUAUUGGGGAACUAUUUGAGCAUAACAUAUUAAGGGAAUUGAGAAGAAUUGGUUACGGUGAAAUCGGAUGCCCUAGGUUUUAUUUUCUUAUGUUUUUAAUUUUAUAUAUCAUGCAUUUUAUUUUCAAGUCAUAUUUCAUUUUUAGUUUAAUUUCAAAUUUUCUCUCUUUUCCAUUAAAGCUUCUCAAUUACAGUUUGUUUUAAUUUAGUUAGUAAGAUUUUUAGAAUCAAUUUGAUCUCUGUGGGACGAUAUCCGUGCUUAUAUGCUAUAUUGUUAUUUGAUUCGUAUACUUGCGAGCACAAAAAUUCGAGACUUAAUGAGCGUAAUUUCGGUUAUCUAAUUGUUGCAACAAGUUUCUGGCGCCGUUGCCGGGGAUCGAAGUUGAUUCUAUUACUUACUUAAUUGGAUUGUUACAUCUUUUAGUUGGUUUUGCUUUAAUGUUAAUUGUUAGUUUUUUUUUUUUUCAAUAAUAAAUUAUUUCCUAAGUCUCUUGUUUAGUUUACCCAUUGUUUUCUAUUUUUGCAGGAAAAAUGGAGCCACUUUACCUUGUUGCUAAUACAAAAUUCAAGUUUGGAGGUGGAUUCCCUUCUACAUCUUCGUUUGCCCGUCUCCUUUAAACCAGGGAAGUUUCUUUGUCCAAGAGCUUUAUUGAUUAAUUUUUCUUUAUGCACCUUUGUUGUCUAUUUUCUUUACUCUUCUCUUCAUUUUUUUUUUGUCUUCUUUGUUUUAGUUCUAGAAAAAUAAAAAUAAAUAAAUACAUAAAAAAUUAUAAAUUUCUGAAAAAUCCAAAAACAUUUUAUUUUUCUUUGAGUCUUGUUCUUGUUGGCUACUUCCCAAUUCAUAUAGUGAUGAUAUUUGGUCUUAAGUUUUUCAUGACUUUCAAGAGAUUUAAGCUUGACAUUAGUUUUUACAUUAUCUUUGUUUUAACCAUAUUUUUUUAU